rnacentral:rRNA from 1 species
AUUGAACGCUGGCGGCAAGCCUAACACAUGCAAGUCGAGCGAGUGGCGGAAGUGUGAGUAAGGUAUGGGCAACGGCGUGAUGGAGAGGGAUCAGAACUGGGAACGGUUGCUAAAACCGCACACAUGCGGCUAGGCCGGGUUGGGUUUAGCUAGUAGGAUGGGUAAAGGCUUACCAAGGCGACGAUCCCUAGCUGGUCUGAGAGGAUGACCAGCCACACUGGAACUGAGACACGGUCCAGACUCCUACGGGAGGCAGCAGUGGGGAAUAUUGCACAAUGGGCGAAAGCCUGAUGCAGCCAUGCCGCGUGUAUGAAGAAGGCCUUCGGGUUGUAAAGUACUUUCAGCGGGGAGGCGUUACCCGCAGAAGAAGCACCGGCUAACUCCGUGCCAGCAGCCGCGGUAAUUC